rnacentral:rRNA from 1 species
UACGUAGGGACCGAGCGUUGUCCGGAAUCAUUGGGCGUAAAGAGCUCGUAGGCGGUUUGUCGCGUCGGCUGUGAAAACCCGGGGCUCAACCCCGGGCCUGCAGUCGAUACGGGCAAACUAGAGUGUGGUAGGGGAGACUGGAAUUCCUGGUGUAGCGGUGAAAUGCGCAGAUAUCAGGAGGAACACCGGUGGCGAAGGCGGGUCUCUGGGCCAUAACUGACGCUGAGGAGCGAAAGCGUGGGGAGCGAACAGG